GGAGAGUUUGAUCCUGGCUCAGGAUGAACGCUGGCGGCGUGCCUAAUGCAUGCAAGUCGUACGGGGGAGCGGCCUUCGGGCUGCGAACCAGUGGCGAACGGGUGCGUAACGCGUAAGUGACCUACCCCCAAGUGGGGAAUAACCCUGAGAAAUUGGGGCUAAUUCCGCAUGGGGUGGUGGCAUAAGGCCACCAUUAAAGCCGAAAGGCGCUUGGGGAAGGGCUUGCGUCCUAUCAGGUAGUUGGCGGGGUAAUGGCCCACCAAGCCUAAGACGGGUAGCUGGUCUGAGAGGAUGGCCAGCCACACGGGGACUGAGACACGGCCCCGACUCCUACGGGAGGCAGCAGCAAGGAAUAUUGCGCAAUGGGCGAAAGCCUGACGCAGCAACGCCGCGUGGGGGAAGAAGGCCUUCGGGUUGUAAACCCCUUUUCUCGGGGAAGAAGCUUUGACGGUACCCGAGGAAUAAGCCUCGGCUAACUACGUGCCAGCAGCCGCGGUAAUACGUAGGAGGCGAGCGUUAUCCGGAUUUAUUGGGCGUAAAGCGCGCGUAGGCG
rnacentral:rRNA from 1 species